rnacentral:rRNA from 1 species
UACGUAGGGUGCGAGCGUUAAUCGGAAUUACUGGGCGUAAAGCGUGCGCAGGCGGUGAGUUGUGUCUGAUGUGAAAGCCCCGGGCUCAACCUGGGAACGGCAUUGGAAACUGGCUCGCUGGAGUGUGGCAGAGGGGGGUGGAAUUCCGCGUGUAGCAGUGAAAUGCGUAGAGAUCUGGAGGAACACCGAUGGCGAAGGCAGCCCCCUGGGCUAGCACUGACGCUGAUACACGAAAGCGUGGGGAGCAAACAGG